UACGUAGGGGGCGAGCGUUGUCCGGAUUUAUUGGGCGUAAAGAGCUCGUAGGCGGCUUGGCAAGUCGGGUGUGAAACCUCCAGGCUUAACCUGGAGACGCCACUCGAUACUGCCAUGGCUAGAGUCCGGUAGGGGACCACGGAAUUCCUGGUGUAGCGGUGAAAUGCGCAGAUAUCAGGAGGAACACCGGUGGCGAAGGCGGUGGUCUGGGCCGGCACUGACGCUGAGGAGCGAAAGCGUGGGGAGCAAACAGG
rnacentral:rRNA from 1 species